CGCUCCGGCCCGACAGGGCGAGUGAUGCGUUGCCCGAAGGGCGCGGUUUACCGCGCCCUUUGUUUUUUUGAUC
rnacentral:sRNA from 1 species